rnacentral:rRNA from 1 species
UUAAGUUAUUAAGGGCGCACGGUGGAUGCCUUGGCACUAGAAGCCGAUGAAGGACGUUACUAACGACGAUAUGCUUUGGGGAGCUGUAAGUAAGCUUUGAUCCAGAGAUUUCCGAAUGGGGAAACCCAGCAUGAGUUAUGUCAUGUUAUCGAUAUGUGAAUACAUAGCAUAUCAGAAGGCACACCCGGAGAACUGAAACAUCUUAGUACCCGGAGGAAGAGAAAGAAAAUUCGAUUCCCUUAGUAGCGGCGAGCGAAACGGGAAGAGCCCAAACCAACAAGCUUGCUUGUUGGGGUUGUAGGACACUCUAUACGGAGUUACAAAGGACGACAUUAGACGAAUCAUCUGGAAAGAUGAAUCAAAGAAGGUAAUAAUCCUGUAGUCGAAAAUGUUGUCUCUCUUGAGUGGAUCCUGAGUACGACGGAGCACGUGAAAUUCCGUCGGAAUCUGGGAGGACCAUCUCCUAAGGCUAAAUACUCUCUAGUGACCGAUAGUGAACCAGUACCGUGAGGGAAAGGUGAAAAGCACCCCGGAAGGGGAGUGAAAUAGAACCUGAAACCGUGUGCUUACAAGUAGUCAGAGCCCGUUAAUGGGUGAUGGCGUGCCUUUUGUAGAAUGAACCGGCGAGUUACGAUUUGAUGCAAGGUUAAGCAGUAAAUGUGGAGCCGUAGCGAAAGCGAGUCUGAAUAGGGCGUUUAGUAUUUGGUCGUAGACCCGAAACCAGGUGAUCUACCCUUGGUCAGGUUGAAGUUCAGGUAACACUGAAUGGAGGACCGAACCGACUUACGUUGAAAAGUGAGCGGAUGAACUGAGGGUAGCGGAGAAAUUCCAAUCGAACCUGGAGAUAGCUGGUUCUCUCCGAAAUAGCUUUAGGGCUAGCCUCAAGUGAUGAUUAUUGGAGGUAGAGCACUGUUUGGACGAGGGGCCCCUCUCGGGUUACCGAAUUCAGACAAACUCCGAAUGCCAAUUAAUUUAACUUGGGAGUCAGAACAUGGGUGAUAAGGUCCGUGUUCGAAAGGGAAACAGCCCAGACCACCAGCUAAGGUCCCAAAAUAUAUGUUAAGUGGAAAAGGAUGUGGCGUUGCCCAGACAACUAGGAUGUUGGCUUAGAAGCAGCCAUCAUUUAAAGAGUGCGUAAUAGCUCACUAGUCGAGUGACACUGCGCCGAAAAUGUACCGGGGCUAAACAUAUUACCGAAGCUGUGGAUUGUCCUUUGGACAAUGGUAGGAGAGCGUUCUAAGGGCGUUGAAGCAUGAUCGUAAGGACAUGUGGAGCGCUUAGAAGUGAGAAUGCCGGUGUGAGUAGCGAAAGACGGGUGAGAAUCCCGUCCACCGAUUGACUAAGGUUUCCAGAGGAAGGCUCGUCCGCUCUGGGUUAGUCGGGUCCUAAGCUGAGGCCGACAGGCGUAGGCGAUGGAUAACAGGUUGAUAUUCCUGUACCACCUAUAAUCGUUUUAAUCGAUGGGGGACGCAGUAGGAUAGGCGAAGCGUGCGAUUGGAUUGCACGUCUAAGCAGUAAGGCUGAGUAUUAGGCAAAUCCGGUACUCGUUAAGGCUGAGCUGUGAUGGGGAGAAGACAUUGUGUCUUCGAGUCGUUGAUUUCACACUGCCGAGAAAAGCCUCUAGAUAGAAAAUAGGUGCCCGUACCGCAAACCGACACAGGUAGUCAAGAUGAGAAUUCUAAGGUGAGCGAGCGAACUCUCGUUAAGGAACUCGGCAAAAUGACCCCGUAACUUCGGGAGAAGGGGUGCUCUUUAGGGUUAACGCCCAGAAGAGCCGCAGUGAAUAGGCCCAAGCGACUGUUUAUCAAAAACACAGGUCUCUGCUAAACCGUAAGGUGAUGUAUAGGGGCUGACGCCUGCCCGGUGCUGGAAGGUUAAGAGGAGUGGUUAGCUUCUGCGAAGCUACGAAUCGAAGCCCCAGUAAACGGCGGCCGUAACUAUAACGGUCCUAAGGUAGCGAAAUUCCUUGUCGGGUAAGUUCCGACCCGCACGAAAGGCGUAACGAUUUGGGCACUGUCUCAACGAGAGACUCGGUGAAAUCAUAGUACCUGUGAAGAUGCAGGUUACCCGCGACAGGACGGAAAGACCCCGUGGAGCUUUACUGUAGCCUGAUAUUGAAAUUCGGCACAGCUUGUACAGGAUAGGUAGGAGCCUUUGAAACGUGAGCGCUAGCUUACGUGGAGGCGCUGGUGGGAUACUACCCUAGCUGUGUUGGCUUUCUAACCCGCACCACUUAUCGUGGUGGGAGACAGUGUCAGGCGGGCAGUUUGACUGGGGCGGUCGCCUCCUAAAAGGUAACGGAGGCGCUCAAAGGUUCCCUCAGAAUGGUUGGAAAUCAUUCAUAGAGUGUAAAGGCAUAAGGGAGCUUGACUGCGAGACCUACAAGUCGAGCAGGGUCGAAAGACGGACUUAGUGAUCCGGUGGUUCCGCAUGGAAGGGCCAUCGCUCAACGGAUAAAAGCUACCCCGGGGAUAACAGGCUUAUCUCCCCCAAGAGUUCACAUCGACGGGGAGGUUUGGCACCUCGAUGUCGGCUCAUCGCAUCCUGGGGCUGUAGUCGGUCCCAAGGGUUGGGCUGUUCGCCCAUUAAAGCGGUACGCGAGCUGGGUUCAGAACGUCGUGAGACAGUUCGGUCCCUAUCCGUCGUGGGCGUAGGAAAUUUGAGAGGAGCUGUCCUUAGUACGAGAGGACCGGGAUGGACAUACCUCUGGUGUACCAGUUGUCGUGCCAACGGCAUAGCUGGGUAGCUAUGUGUGGACGGGAUAAGUGCUGAAAGCAUCUAAGCAUGAAGCCCCCUCAAGAUGAGAUUUCCCAACUUCGGUUAUAAGAUCCCUCAAAGAUGAUGAGGUUAAUAGGUUCGAGGUGGAAGCAUGGUGACAUGUGGAGCUGACGAAUACUAAUCGAUCGAAGACUUAAUCAA